rnacentral:lncRNA from 1 species
UGGUGUGUUUGUUUCUCUGUGCAGCUCUACCACAAAUUCCAUAGGAUCACCAAUGAAAACCUGCCAUCUUCCUUUUUUUUCUGCGCUGGAUAAAUACACAUCACAGCUUCUGAAACUGUACAAAAAGAAGAUGACUGGACGGUUUGGAGAGAAGCUGCAGCUUGUUGUGACAGCAUACGAAGAACAGGAAAAGAACAACAUCACUGCAGCCAGGACAGCAGCCCUUGCCCGCCUACCACUGUACCUGAAAGAGGAUUCGUCAGACAUAUUCAAGACUUGCACGGACGAGUUUGAGGUGUCCCAGGAGGAAGCUGUGGCUUUAAUGGCAGUGGUCACUGAAGAUGAGGUGCUGACAGGAGUUCCCUUUGACCUGCAGCAUGUAUCCAUCAUCCUGAAAGGCCAGGUUGUGACGUCUACAAGAUCAUGGACUGACUCACUUGUUGUUUUGUUUGGUCUGAUUUAUGCUCUACAUUUGAGCUGAAAAGCUAAGUGGCUUCUUUGAGUUCAUCCAGGUUGUCCUGCUGAAUCUUGAUGAAGGGAGAAAAAAGCUCAAACCAACGCUGCAGGCAUUGAGAAAUGAGCUGGAGUAAAUGAUCAAGAUCUUGGUUGUUUUUUAUUGUUCCUGAUAAUUAGUUCCUUAAAAAGAAAAAAAUCCCACACACUACUCUUGCUAAGUAUUAAUUCUGGUGCUCAAGGGCGAAGUCAUACAUUCUUCCUUUCAAGGGAAAGUUAAGUUGCUGUUAGUUAAUAUUGUGCCUGGGUGUUUCUUGUGUUUAUAUUGCCCUAAAGAAAUGGCAUGUCCAUAUAUAAAAAAUAAGUAAAGCUGUGUAAAUGACAACUUGAAAUGAACAUGGAAAUGUUUUGUAG